UACGUAGGCAGCAAGCGUUGUUCGGAGUUACUGGGCGUAAAGGGUGUGUAGGCGGUUCGUUUAAGUUUGGUGUGAAAUCUCCCGGCUCAACCGGGAGGGUGCGCCGAAUACUGAGGACUGAGUGCGGGAGAGGAAAGUGGAAUUCCUGGUGUAGCGGUGAAAUGACGCAGAUAUCAGGAGGAACACCAAUGGCGAAGGCAGCUCGCUGGGACGGUACUGACGCUGGAGGCGCGAAAGCGUGGGGAGCAAACAGG
rnacentral:rRNA from 1 species